UUUAUCGAGUGGUUGCUCUGAAUUUCAGAGAGGAAAGUCCGAGCACCGCAGGACAAGGUGCCUCCUAACAGGAGGAAUCCACAAGGAUAUGGAAAGUGCAACAGAAAGUAAACCGCUAAUGGAUUUGCUAACGCAAAUCACAAGUAAGGCUGAAAGGGUGGUGUAAGAGACCACCAGUCUCACGGGCGACCGUGAGAGCUUGUAAACCCCACCUGGUGCAAGAUCGAAUAAGCUUCCAGAUGUUGUUCGCAUCAUUAUGAGAAGCGGGUAGUUCGCUUGAGGCGAUUGGUGACGAUUGUCCCAGAUGAAUGACCACUGACCCCUGAUUUAUCAGUGGGAGACAGGACUCGGCUUAUAGAUUUUCUC
rnacentral:RNase_P_RNA from 1 species